AGCUUAGACAGAAUGCCAACACUAUGGACCAAGAGCAAGAACGUCCAUGUCUGGGGAAGGACAAAAGAAGGUGUCUGCUCAGCAGAGAGGCUAUCACAUUCCCUCUGCCUUUUUGUUCAUUUAGGAACCUCAGAAGUUUUGGUUGAUUUUGGGGUUGGAGGGUGAAUAUUAACUUUUUCUAUUAAUGCCUAUUAUUCAUUUCUAAAAACACUCUCAAAGACAAGCUGAAGAAUAUUUUUUCAUCUAUGUCUAUAUCCAUUAGCUCCAUAAAAUCAUCUAGUAAAAAUAGCUUUCAGAAGUUCUAAGUUCUUUCACCAAUAAGAAUCAUCAAUUACUCUACACAUAAAGAAACCAAAUCAAGUCUUCUAUGGUCCUAAGAGUAGCUGGCAGAGCAUCUUGAAGACAUCUUCCAUGUAAAAAUGCCUCGUCCUCUUCUGACAGUCCUCUACUUAAGCACAAGCAUCACUAAAGUUGCUGGUCCAUGAAAAUACUCUAGAGAAGAAGGUCCCAUCCAUAUCCAAGCAUGUCUGUCACCCAAGAAGCUCUAAGACAUUUGGAUAUCAAGACUGUAUCUCUUUUGGUUCUUAGAGAGAAGGACUGAAGUGCUCAGUAUGUGGAUUUAGAAGUAAGAGAAUUAUAGGGCUGGGGAAAUGGCUUAGUAUUUAUGAGUGAGUUGAAUUCCUAAUACCCACAUUGGGCAGCUCACAACUGCCUGUGACUUCAACUCCAAGAAGUCUGAAACCCUCUUGAGGACUCUAUUCGUGUUUUCCCAAACACAGAAUAACACAUACCAAAUAAUUGGAACUAAACAUUUUAAGAUUCAAUAAGAUAGAAUUAUGUUCAAAUGAAGUUAUUAUGGUGGGUCUUAAUACAAUAUGUCUAAUGUCCUCAUAAGAGGAAAUAGCAAACAUGAAAAUUUAGAUAUGUGGAGGGACAGAUCAUGUAUCAUGUAAAGCCAAAAUGAGAAGAAAAGCAUCUACAGGCCAUGGAGAGAUAUCUCAGAAGAAACAAGCCUUGACCUUGGACUUCCAGCCUCUAGUCUGACAAAACAGUACCUUUGAGUUGUGUUAGCCACUGGAUACGUUGGUGCACUCUUUUAGUAAAGCCCCAAGGGACUAACUAAGGCAAGUAUUUCAAAUUUACUUCAAAGUCUCCUAAUAAAGAUGUAGAAACUGAUCUUAUGAGAUCAAAAAAGCUUCUCAGGGCCACUAAGGUUCGAAAUAGGGUUGAGUGUCAAAAGCACAUAUGCAAACAUAUAUAGUCCAGAGCUCAUUCUAUGGCCUGCAUUAACUCUACUGACCAAUUUGGUAUCCUAGUGAUAGCCCCUUAAAUCUGGCCCUAGAGGCUGAUAGCACCAUGUUGAUAUGAUAUGCCCUUGACAUCUGAACUAACUUCUUGAUGCCUCUACUCAGCACUGAGAAGGAUCAGCCUUAUACUGACAAUCAUCCAUUUUUCCUACCAAGCAUCACCCCCACAGAGCAUAGAAAAGCUCUGGACUCACAGUACAGCUUUCUCAAAAAGGAUCUGAUUGAUUGGCCUGACAAUGAAGAAGACAGAAGUUAUCCCUCCUUUAUAGAAAUUUCUACAGGAAAUGUGAGAGCCACUGAUUUACUUACACAGAGUCUAAGCUGGUGCUCACUACAGGAUUCAAAGGGGGUUACUUCCCAUAUCCAUCCUUUGGAACUGUCUCUGUCCAAUUAUAGACAGAGUCCCAGUUCUGUCACUACUUCUCUCUUGAUCUUGAACCUGUAUCUCAGAUAAUUCAAGUACUCAUUCCUUAUAUGUAGAUGGGAAAAAAAUAAAAGCUUGCUUUAUCUACCUCAUGGACACCCAGAAAAUAUCAAAUAAGAUAAUGUGUAAGAGAGCACUUGGAAAUGUAUAAAAAUCUUAUUCAAAUAGGAAAUGUGACAAACCCUUCAUCCUCCUAAAACGUGGAUCAAAAUGAAUAUCUGUCUGAAUGAGCAGCAGUCACAAUAAGAGUAUGAAGCCUGAUUGACAGUCAGCUUACGUGAAUGGCUUUCAAAUGUAUGGAUGGAAUUUUGGCACAUAAUGAAAAGAACAGGAAACUUGAAAUCAAGAUAGUAGAGGAGGUUUUGGGCUCAGCCCCAGUAUGAUAUGUGUGAUUAUUUUUAUAUAAGACCCUAAGUCCGCUGAUGUGUGUCUGCAUUCCAAAGAUGAAAAUAAUGAUGUCCACCUCAUCUUUCCAAAAAUGGUUUGAUAAAGACCAAUUACAUAUAA